CUGCAUCCCGAAUAUAAGUUUGGGUAUGAAAAAAUGUCAAACCCAAUUUUAUAUUCAUAUUUCUCUCGAUCAGAUAAUAAUGAUUCAAUUUAUGAAAUAUUAAAAACUAUUUCUAAUUUUUUAUAAUGCUCUGAUCAAAGUCUUCCUGAAUCAUUAUUCGAUCGAAGCAGAUAGGAUGCGAUCUCCUCUUACUAGGAGUGAUCAUUUCUAUAUUGACCUACUCACAA
rnacentral:lncRNA from 1 species